GACGAACGCUGGCGGCGUGCUUAACACAUGCAAGUCGAACGAUGAAGAAGAGCUUGCUCUUCGGAUUAGUGGCGAACGGGUGAGUAACACGUGACUAACCUGCCCCUUUCUCUGGGAUAACGCUCCGAAAGGAGUGCUAAUACCGGAUACUCACAUCGAGGCACAUGCCUUGAUGUGGAAAGUUUUUCGGAAAGGGAUGGAGUCGCGGCCUAUCAGCUUGUUGGUGAGGUAACGGCUCACCAAGGCGACGACGGGUAGCCGGCCUGAGAGGGCGACCGGCCACACUGGGACUGAGACACGGCCCAGACUCCUACGGGAGGCAGCAGUGGGGAAUAUUGCACAAUGGGCGAAAGCCUGAUGCAGCGACGCCGCGUGAGGGAUGAAGGUCUUCGGAUUGUAAACCUCUUUCAGUAGGGACGAAUUUUGACGGUACCUGAGGAAUAAGGGGUUGCUAACUCUGUGCCAGCCGCCGCGGUAA
rnacentral:rRNA from 1 species